rnacentral:rRNA from 1 species
CAGCCGCCGCGGUAAUACGAGGGGUGCAAGCGUUAUUCGGAUUGAUUGGGUGUAAAGGGUGUGCAGACGGCUUAUUAAGUCACUUGUUAAAUUCUUCGGCCUAACUGAAGGUCUGCAAGUGAUACUGAUGAGCUAGAGGGUGGAAGAGAGAAGUGGAAUUCUCGGAGUAGCGGUAAAAUGCGUAGAUCUCGAGAGGAACACCAAUGGCGAAGGCAGCUUCUUGGUCCAUUCCUGACGUUCAUACACGAAAGCGUGGGGAGCAAACAGGAUUAGAUACCCCCGUAGUCCCUGUCUCUUAUAA